rnacentral:rRNA from 2 species
UAAACGACUCUCGGCAACGGAUAUCUCGGCUCACGCAUCGAUGAAGAACGUAGCAAAAUGCGAUACUUGGUGUGAAUUGCAGAAUCCCGUGAACCAUCGAGUUUUUGAACGCAAGUUGCGCCCAAAGCCUUUCGGCCGAGGGCACGUCUGCCUGGGCGUCACAC